CUACGGGGGGCUGCAGUGGGGAAUUUUGCGCAAUGGGGGAAACCCUGACGCAGCAAUACCGCGUGAGUGAAGAAGGCCUUUGGGUCGUAAAGCUCUUUUCUUGGGGAAGAUAGUGACGGUACCCAAGGAAUAAGCACCGGCUAACUCCGUGCCAGCAGCCGCGGUAAUACGGAGGGUGCAAGCGUUGUUCGGAUUUACUGGGCGUAAAGGCACGUAGGCGGCACAGCAAGUUAAGGGUGAAAUCCCGGGGCUCAACUCCGGAACUGCUCUUAAAACUGCUGAGCUAGAGAUAGUCAGAGGCGGGUGGAAUUCCAGGUGUAGAGGUGAGAUUCGUAGAUAUCUGGAGGAACACCGGUGGCGAAGGCGGCCCGCUGGGGCUAUUCUGACGCUAAGGUGCGAAAGCGUGGGGAGUAAACGGGAUUAGAUACCCGUGUAGUC
rnacentral:rRNA from 1 species